rnacentral:rRNA from 1 species
GCGGAGGAAAAGAAACUAACCAGGAUUGUCUCAGUAGCGGCGAGUGAAGAGACAUCAGCCCAGAUUUAGAAUUGUAAUCUCGGAAGCAAUUCCAACCUCAAAGAACGGCAGAACUUACCUGGAACGGUAGGCCACAGAAGGUAACAGCCCUGUACUGUCGGGAAGUGUGGACGGAAGGCGUGGAGAGUCGGGUUGUUUGGGAAUGCAGCCCUAAGUAGGAGAUAGACAUCUUCUAAGGCUAAAUACCGGUGGGAGACCGAUAGCGCACAAGUACUGCGAAGGAAAGAUGAAAAGAACUUUGGAAAGAGGGUUAAAAGACGUGAAAUCGUUGAAGUGGAACUGAUCGCAGCCCGUCCAGGCUAUAACUCCGUGCUACCUCUAAAGCCCCCCGGACUCCAAUCCCAAGGCCUAUGAGGGAAGUACUGUUGUAGCACGUCCCCGCAUCAGUUCCAGUGCUGCUAAUCAAGUGGUUCAAGUUAGGGUCCACCCGGAUCAGCACUGGGACUGAGGUCGAUGCGAGGAAAGCGACUGUGAUCGACCCGUCUUGAAACACGGACCAAGGAGUCUAACUGUCGUGCGAGUGGGAGGGUGGCAAACCCGAACGCGUACCGAAAGGGAGUAUAAGGUGCUAGGACAACCGCAGCACCAGCAAGCGCGAGCUUAGCAAGAGCACGAGGGUUAGGACCCGAAAGAUGGUGAACUAUGCCCGAGUAGGGUGAAGCCAGGGGAAACUCUGGUGGAGGCUCGAAGCGUUACUGACGUGCAAAUCGUUCGUCGAACUUGGGUGUAGGGGCGAAAGACUAAUCGAACCAUCUAGUAGCUGGUUCCCUCUGAAAUUUCUCUCAGGAUAGCGGGGACAGAACAGUUUUAUCAGGUAAAGCGAAUGAUUAGAGUACUCGGGAAACAGAGUUUCUUGAACUAUUCUCAAACUUUCAAUUGGUAAGAGCCUCCAGGUUAUCUCGAUUGAACCUGGAGGGACAAUGUCUGUCCUCAGUGGGCCAUUUUUGGUAAGCAGAACUGGCGAUGAGGGAUGAACCUAACGUCGGGCUAAAGUGCCCAAUUUCACGCUCAUGAGACACCAAAAAAGGUGUUGGUUCAUUUAAACAGCAGGACGGUGGCCAUGGAAGUCGGAACCCGCUAAGGAGUGUGUAACAACUCACCUGCCGAAUGAACCAGCCCUGAAAAUUGAUGGCGCUAGAGCGUGGGACCGAUACCCGACCAUUCGGACACUGAAGUUCGAAUGAGUAAGAGGGCGCAUACAUCGUGGAGAAGACUCUGGCGUGAGCCUGGUUGGAACGAUGUUUGGUGCAGAUCUUGGUGGUAGUAGCAAAUAUUCAAGUGAGAAUCUUGAAGGCCGAAGUGGAGAAGGGUUCCGUGAGAACAGCAUUUGGUCACGGGUUACUCGGUCCUAAGGCAUAGGGAAAUUCCUUGCAAUGCACGCGAACUUUCGUACUGCCGAAAGGGAACGGGGUUAAUAUUCCCUCGAGCUGGGUGUGGAGGCCAAGUGGUAACACCAGCGAACCCGGAGACGCCUGCGCUUACCCCUGGAAGAGUUAUCUUUUCUUCUUGACAAAAUCUACUCCCCGGAAUUUGGCUUAGCCAGAGGUGGGGAGAAGAAAUGGCAGAGCAGCUUAUAUGAGGCUGUUAGGAGCGUAAGCGAGGGC